UCAGGAUGAACGCUAGCUACAGGCUUAACACAUGCAAGUCGAGGGGCAGCACCAGGUUAGCUUGCUAACCUGGAUGGCGACCGGCGCACGGGUGAGUAACGCGUAUCCAACCUUCCCCCCUGCUCAGGGAUAGCCCGGUGAAAACCGGAUUAAGACCUGAUAGUUUCACUAGAUGGCAUCUGACGGUGAAUAAAGGUUUCGGCAAGGGAUGGGGAUGCGUCUGAUUAGCUUGUUGGCGGGUAACGGCCCACCAAGGCGACGAUCAGUAGGGGUUCUGAGAGGAAGGUCCCCCACAUUGGAACUGAGACACGGUCCAAACUCCUACGGGAGGCAGCAGUGAGGAAUAUUGGUCAAUGGGCGGAAGCCUGAACCAGCCAAGUAGCCGUGCAGGAAGACGGCCCUAUGGGUUGUAAACUGCUUUUGUGCGGGAAUAAAGUCAGGGACGCGUCCCUGUUUGCAUGUACCGCAAGAAUAAGGACCGGCUAAUUCCGUGCCAGCCGCCGC
rnacentral:rRNA from 1 species